GAAUUGAGCAGAGCAAGGUCGGGCUACUGACUCACUCGCAGUGAGAGUUACAGCCACACCUCAGAGCUCAAGGAAGAAUUCGGCCGAGGAAGGUCAGAUGGCCUCUUUUUAUACUUGUUGAUCCUUACGUUAAAACGACUCUGACUUCACCCAUUUAGACCCAGAGCCGUUAGUGAAAGGUGGAGAAGGCCAUUCAACCUGUGAAGGAGAUCGCUAAUCGAAUGUGGACUAAAGCAGCAAAGGUUUGGAUCCAAGUGCAAAGGGAAAAUAUUUGAGGUUCCAGGGAGCAGACUACCUGAAUUUUGACUUUCAUCAAUUGUGGACUCCUGCCAACGGUGAAACCUGCCCCCCCCCCCCUUGCUUGGGUGUGGGCAGAAGGGGGUGAACAUCGUGGUGACCCUCGGUUUCCUGUGGCCUAAUUUUUUUUAUGAGAAGGCUCAACAGGUGAUCCAAUUUGUCUGGGAAGAGUCUGUGGAGACCCGGAGAAAUGAGUGAAUUCUGGUUGUGUUUUGGCUGCUCAGAAGUGGAGAAGGCCCAACCG